ACACCAGGAUCGCGUCAUGUGACCCCCCAAAAAUAUGCCUCAUUCGGGACAAAAAAAGAAAAAAAGUGUAGGUCUCAUCUCUUCGAACGUCCAUCGUCAAAGUUCAAGACUUCCCCAAGGGUUCGAACUGAAAGAAUUCCGAGGGAACUGGAACGAGAACAAUCCUAAUAAACAGAUGGAGGUCUUUGACAGUGAAGUGUUGAACAUAGAGUAACUGUAUCUGCCAUUCAAUAGAUUACUAGUGUUUCCUUCGCGAACGUUUCGUUCAAAAGAACAAACCUUUUUCGAGAACGUACUGAACUGAAUCAGUUUCUGAACGGAUUCGUUCUUUGAGCUUGGUUGCUGCCGUGAGCGAGAAAGGGAACGGAUAGGGAACUGCUGUAGCGUUCUGUCGCUCACUUCUGAAUCUUCGGCGAAUGACCAAUGAGCAGCCAGCGGGCAGCACCGCACAGGCGGCGGAGGGACGAGCUGAAUGUACUGGUGACCUGAAUGUACUGCUGAACUCAAUGUACUGGUGAACUGAUUGUACUGGUGAACUUAUUGUACUGGUGAAUUGAUUGUACUGGUGACCUGAAUGUACUGGUGAACUCAAUGUACUGGUGAACUCAAUGUACUGCUGAAUUGAAUGUACUGUUAGCCACUGUUGGUUUAUUGAACUUCUUCGUUCGCGAUCCGCUCAGGAGCGACAUACUAGUACGUAUGCAGUGAACUGUUCUGUCAUAAGUGAUUAAUUCGGAGUUUCACUGCGAACUAGUACGAGUUGGCUAAAGUCACAAAUAGACAGUUUAAAUCUGAAAAUUAUUAACAUGUUAACUCUGUUGAUAUGUACCCAUUAUAAGACAGGAAAAGACAUAACAAUGACAUUGAGACCAGAAAUACAUUUAAUGAACAAAUAUAAAACAUUAGGAUGGUUCAGGAUUACAAACUGAAUGAAAUAAGGUGAUCCACCUCUCUUACAGGAGGACUGUACACAAGGGCAGAGGUGGGGGCGCAGAAAGCUUUUAUAGUGGGGACCACAGAAGAAGAAAUGAAAGAGGAGCAAAGCGCCGAGCUGAGACAGAAACAUCGAGUCUGGCGUCGCUUGUUUGAUGAAACCAGAGUGCAUGCAAGGGUGAAACUGAAACUAAGUGCAGGGACCUACGCGAGGAUCCUGUUCGUGGACUUCAGCUCAGCAUUCAACACCAUCAUCCCUGAACUCCUUUCAUCCAAGCUUCUCCAGCUCAGCGUCUCACCUGCCAUCUGCCAGUGGAUUUACAGCUUUCUGACGGGCAGGACACAGCAGUUCAGGCUGGGGGAGGCCACCUCAUCCACACGCAGCAUCAGCACUGGGGGCGCCCCCAAGGUUGUGUCCUCUCUCCGCUACUCUUCUCUCUCUACACGAACGACUGCACCUCAGCGCACCCGACUGUCAAACUCCUGAAGUUUGCAGAUGACACCACUGUCAUCGGCCUCAUCAAGGACGGUGACGAGUCUGCAUAUCGACAGGAAGCGGAGCGGCUGGAGCUGUGGUGCGGCCGACACAACCUGGAGCUGAACACGCUCAAGACUGUAGAGAUGAUCGUGGACUUCAGGAGCCAUCCUCCGCCACAGCUGCCGCUCACGUUGUCCAGCUGCCUUGUGUCAACCGUCGAGACCUUCAAGUUCCUGGGAAUUACAGUCUCUCAGGACCUGAAGUGGGCGACCAACAUCAACUCCGUCCUCAAAAAGGCCCAGCACAGGAUGUACUUCCUGCGGCUUCUGAGAAAGCACGACCUGCCACCGGAGCUGCUGAGACAGUUCUACACAGCGGUCAUCGAAUCAGUCCUGUGUUCUUCCAUCACAGUCUGGUUCGGUGCUGCUACAAAAAAGGACAAACUCCGACUGCAACGGUCAAUCAAAACUGCUGAAAGGAUUUUCGGUACCCACAAUUGAGGACUUGCACGCUGCCAGAACUAAGACAAGGGAGUGCAAAAUCCUCUCGGACCCUCCGCACCCCGGUCACCAGCUCUUCCGGCUCCUUCCCUCAGCCAAUGGAGCAACUUCUCCAGAAUCAUAGCGCUGAUCCUGACCCAGAUGAUGGGCUGGUGGUGUCAGCAUGCAUGCUCUUGCCCCCUGUCGAACCAUAAUUUUAUGUCCUUCAUGGAUUCAUAAAUCCCAUCACGCCGACCUUGUUUGAACAGGAACUAUAUUCAGACGCUCGAUCUUAUGUGAAUACUGAGUGAAGUAAAAAUGAAAUGUGGAAAUUGUAGAAUUGGAAAAUGUGAUAUUUUUUGCAUGAGGCAUUUGUGUACAUGAUCCCGUAUUAAGAUUUAUGGAGAAUAAACUUUCAAGAUUUUCUUUCGACGUUGUUUUUCCAAAGCUAAUUUUGUUGUUCAUACGAUAUGGCAAGUGAUGCUAAUACAAUCACAAUUUAUACAAAAUAAUAAUAAUAAUAAUAAUUGACUCAAUAUUCUGUGUAUUUCUUUGACAUCCUGGCUGUAUUGUCAUACUGUUACUCUAUUGUUACAUUCAGGGUCGAAGUAGACAGUUAUCUUAAAAGUUUGUCAGUCUGCAUUUAGAAGAUGCUGGUGUUACUCUCGAGUCGACCACUUUAACCAUCCAAGGAUGUUGAAUGCAUCUUCACCUAAACAUGUUCCAUCUGGAGAAAUUCCAAAUUAAAACUGGGAGACAUGGCACAUAAAUGCACUGAUUUCAUCUGAAAUUUCCGAUUUAAACUUUAUCUUUCUCUAUUUUCUUUCGGGAGCUGCUCAAGAAGUCUUUGGAAGACAUUGCCGCCAUUUUAUUUUCACUGAAAUGGGUGUAAUGUUGUUAUAUCACAAGAUGGCGUGGACAGCUGCCCAAAAUACGGCUGUAGGUCAAAAGUCUGUAACGUAAUAGUGUUGUUCC